rnacentral:lncRNA from 1 species
CAUUUGCUGACUGAAACUGAGUUCCAGAACCAUUGAAAGCUCACUCUAGAUCAAGGCAGGCCCUGUAUUUGGUAAAGCUUAAGGACUUUCAUUGCAUCACGAAUUAUUCAUUCAUUUAUUCAGCAAACAUUUACUGGGCACCUACUAUGUGCAGGACAGUUUGUUAGGUGCUGGGGACAUAAUAAUGAGCAAAGACAGGCAUGAUCUCAGCCCUUGGUGAGUUCAGGCCUUUGGAGGGUCUCCUAUGGGAGAUAAACACUAAUUAAAUAAUGAC